rnacentral:rRNA from 1 species
GUAGGUGGCAAGCGUUGUCCGGAAUUAUUGGGCGUAAAGCGCGCGCAGGCGGUCCUUUAAGUCUGAUGUGAAAGCCCACGGCUCAACCGUGGAGGGUCAUUGGAAAACUGGGGGGACUUGAGUACAGAAGAGGAAAGCGGAAUUCCAAGUGUAGCGGUGAAAUGCGUAGAGAUUUGGAGGAACACCAGUGGCGAAGGCGGCUUUCUGGUCUGUAACUGACGCUGAGGCGCGAAAGCGUGGGGAGCAAACAGGGAUUAGAUACCCUGGUAGUCCACGCCGUAAACGAUGAGUGCUAAGUGUUAGGGGGUUUCCCGCCCCCUUAGUGCUGCAGCUAACGCAUUAAGCACUCCGCCUGGGGAGUACGGCCGCAAGGCUG